rnacentral:rRNA from 1 species
GACGAACGCUGGCGGCGUGCCUAAUACAUGCAAGUAGAACGCUGAAGCGAGGAGCUUGCUCUUCUUGGAUGAGUUGCGCACGGGUGAGUAACGCGUAGGUAACCUGCCUUGUAGCGGGGGAUAACUAUUGGAAACGAUAGCUAAUACCGCAUAACAAUGGAUGACACAUGUCAUUUAUUUGAAAGGGGCAAUUGCUCCACUACAAGAUGGACCUGCGUUGUAUUAGCUAGUAGGUGAGGUAAUGGCUCACCUAGGCGACGAUACAUAGCCGACCUGAGAGGGUGAUCGGCCACACUGGGACUGAGACACGGCCCAGACUCCUACGGGAGGCAGCAGUAGGGAAUCUUCGGCAAUGGGGGCAACCCUGACCGAGCAACGCCGCGUGAGUGAAGAAGGGUUUCGGAUCGUAAAGCUCUGUUGUAAGUCAAGAACGGGGGUGAGAGUGGAAAGUUCACACUGUGACGGUAGCUUACCAGAAAGGGACGGCUAACUACGUG